rnacentral:lncRNA from 1 species
UACACACUAUGUACACCAUAACAAAUUACAAUUUAAAACUUAAUAACUAAAAGGGGUGUAACAAUGGGUGGUCUUAUCGCUAAAAGCGAUCUUUUACAGACAACCUUUAAUGUAUAGUGACUCUUCUCAAGAAAAUUGUAUUAUGGGGUGGCAUAAAUAGGAACUGACAAUGUAAAGGCGGCAAAAAAUGCCUUUGCCUCUACUGUCAACGCUAUCAGCUUCUACUUGGCUUGAUGCUGCAGCUAGGCGGCGGUGCCGGCCCCUAGAGUAGCGCCACCCAGGGCCAUGGCCCCCUCGGCACCCCCAUGCUAUGCUACUGUGAUUUUAUUUACUUCAACUGUGGUGUUCCUGUUCUAGUACUGCUAGACCUCAGCUAUUAUUUCUAGUGUUAGAUUAAUAUUCAAGGAUGGUAUCACAGUACAUUACUAAAAUUUUAUACAUAUGAUGAUGAUAUCUAUUACGGUAUUUUAAUGAGAGUGAGUUGUUCAUGUAUAAAAACUUCUUGAUUUCAGGCCCAUUGCACCGAUUUCCUAAACCUGAAUACCCACAUUUGGAAAAGUUUAACUCGUGGAAAAAAGUACUAGAUAAAGCUUUACAAGAGAAAGGCGACAUCUACAUUUAUAACCAAAUUCGAUUUUGCGACAGACAUUUUGAAGAGUGUUACCGUUCAGCCAGUCACCGACUUACUCCAAAUGCAAUACCAACUCUAGAUUUAUCUACAUUACCAGUUGGUCAAACUCUUGAAGGUCCAUCGGGACAUGUCGAGGCAGACAUGUCGAAUUUAUUAAACAUUUCGCAAGAUAAACUUGCUGUCAUUGAGCCAUCCAGCUCUACCCACUAUCAUAGUGAUGUACAGAAUGCAUUACAGACAGCUGAACGCCCUAAAGGUAAAUAUUUUUAUUGACAAUUG